rnacentral:misc_RNA from 1 species
CAGAGUUCUGCCCUCACGGGUAGACCUCCACCCUUGAAUACGUUACCUUGUUGCUUGGCAGGCGGCCUGCGCCGGAGGCCUCGGGCUUCCGCGUGCCUGCCAGCAGACCCAACUCUUGUUUUUGGUGAUGUCUGAGUAGCUAUAUAAUAGUUA